GAUCGUGUCAGGAUGAACGCUAGCUACAGGCUUAACACAUGCAAGUCGAGGGGCAGCAUGUGGUGCUGCAACCAUGAUGGCGACCGGCGCACGGGUGAGUAACGCGUAUCCAACCUUCCCCUUAGUAGGGCAUAGCCCGGCGAAAGUCGGAUUAAUACCCUAUGUUCUUCGUAGAUGACAUCUGAAAUGAAGCAAAGGUUUACCGCUAAGGGAUGGGGAUGCGUCUGAUUAGGCAGUCGGCGGGGUAACGGCCCACCGAGCCGACGAUCAGUAGGGGUUCUGAGAGGAAGGUCCCCCCACAUUGGAACUGAGACACGGUCCAAACUCCUACGGGAGGCAGCAGUGAGGAAUAUUGGUCAAUGGGCGCGAGCCUGAACCAGCCAAGUAGCGUGCAGGAAGACGGCCCUAUGGGUUGUAAACUGCUUUUAUGCGGGGAUAAAGUCGCCCACGUGUGGGUGUUUGUAGGUACCGCAUGAAUAAGGACCGGCUAAUUCCGUGCCAGCCGCAGC
rnacentral:rRNA from 1 species